UGAGGAAGAUAAUGACGGUACUCAACAAGGAAGUGACGGCUAACUACGUGCCAGCAGCCGCGGUAAAACGUAGGUCACAAGCGUUGUCCGGAAUUACUGGGUGUAAAGGGAGCGCAGGCGGGAAGACAAGUUGGAAGUGAAAUCCAUGGGCUCAACCCAUGAACUGCUUUCAAAACUGUUUUUCUUGAGUAGUGCAGAGGUAGGCGGAAUUCCCGGUGUAGCGGUGGAAUGCGUAGAUAUCGGGAGGAACACCAGUGGCGAAGGCGGCCUACUGGGCACCAACUGACGCUGAGGCUCGAAAGUGUGGGUAGCAAACAGGAUUAGAUACCCUGGUAGUCCACACCGUAAACGAUGAUUACUAGGUGUUGGAGGAUUGACCCCUUCAGUGCCGCAGUUAACACAAUAAGUAAUCCACCUGGGGAGUACGACCGCAAGGUUGAAACUCAAAGGAAUUGACGGGGGCCCGCACAAGCAGUGGAGUAUGUGGUUUAAUUCGACGCAACGCGAAGAACCUUACCAAGUCUUGACAUCCUGCGACGGACAUAGAAAUAUGUCUUUCCUUCGGGACGCAGAGACAGGUGGUGCAUGGUUGUCGUCAGCUCGUGUCGUGAGAUGUUGGGUUAAGUCCCGCAACGAGCGCAACCCUUAUGGUCAGUUACUACGCAAGAGGACUCUGGCCAGACUGCCGUUGACAAA
rnacentral:rRNA from 1 species